rnacentral:lncRNA from 1 species
CGACGUGUAGCUCAAAAUUCGAUUGGAACCAGUGCGUAUUACAAAAAAAAAACAGCAGUAACACCCUAUCUAUAGUAAGGGACUUUUCAAUUCAGUCUCCCAUUUGAUUUCAAACCAUCAAAUAUAAAGAUUCUUUGUUAGCUCUUCGUGCCUCCUUGACUUUUCAAACUCAACUAAGGCUGUCCAACUAGAUAAGAGCCCGUGCUUCCUCUCGAACAGAGCUCCUCGCAGAAAUUCCAGAUCAUUGAAGAGGAAUUAAAGAAAAUGGUAGUUUUCCUAUCAAGUACCUGAAAGUUUUCUUGUCCUGUUAGCUUUGCAUUUCCUAGGAUCCUACUAAAGUCUAAAUUGCACCAUAUUAGAAAGAAAUAGACCUGAGUAGAGCAAAAACCAACACACAUACAGUUGAGGUAGCAGGUAGCCCCUGAAAUUAGUCGACGUGCACACAAGCUAGCCCAGCCACCACGAUUAUAAAAAAACACAUAUAGCCAAUCUUGACAAACGGAAUUGAGGUAUGGUUGAUUGAUUGGAACUUUUUAAAAAUAAAAUCACAUAAUCCCAAAAUAAACUUCAGCGCAACUAUCAAUUUUCUGGGCAGUAAAAAAAAAAAGAUCAAGGCCCUAAAGUAAAAACAAUAUCCACUCCCAAUUACAGCUAACAAAAAGUAAAACUAACAGAACAGAACUAAGAACCAAAAUAUAAAAGGAAAACAUGAGAUUAAUUUUACCUUAUGAGAAGCAUCGAUGGGAGAGGAGAAGUGAUUGGAAUGGUGAAAUUGUUGUUGCUGGAAACGUAGCCAUCGACAUCUAUUGAUACUGCGUCUCGAAAUCUGAGACAAACUCCUUGCAAAUAGCAUUCUUGAUAUAUUUAAUUUUGUAUGUAUGUAAUAUUAUUUGUGUGCUGAGUAUGUUUAUAUUUUGGUCGCUUGUUAGUAGAAGAAGAAAGAGGAGAAUGAGGGAGGGAGGAAAGGUCAAAGUAGAGCGGUGCCCCAGGGUUUGAGGAACCCAAAAAAGGCAAGAAAUUUAACGGACUCGUGUUUUAAUUUGCUGCCUAUGACGAAUCCCAAUAGCAACCAUAUGUGCAAAAUUA